GAUGAACGCUGGCGGCGUGCCUAACACAAGCAAGUCGAACGAACCUGAUCUUCGGAAAAGGUUAGUGGCGCACGGGUGAGUAACACGUAGGUGACCUGCCCUGGAGUGGGGGAUAUCUUCUCGAAAGAGAGGCUAAUACCGCAUACGCUCGGCCAUUCAGUUGGUCGAGUAAAGCUCCGGCGCUCCAGGAGGGGCCUGCGUCCGAUUAGCUAGUUGGUGAGGUAAUGGCUCACCAAGGCGAUGAUCGGUAGCUGGUCUGAGAGGACAAUCAGCCACACUGGCACUGACACACGGGCCAGACUCCUACGGGAGGCAGCAGUGAGGAAUAUUGGUCAAUGGGCGAAAGCCUGAACCAGCAACGCCGCGUGAGGGAUGAAGGCCUUCGGGUCGUAAACCUCUUUUCUGGGAGAAGAGACAAGGACGGUAUCCCAGGAAUAAGUCUCGGCUAACUACGUGCCAGCCGCCGCAGUAAUAC
rnacentral:rRNA from 1 species